rnacentral:rRNA from 1 species
UGGAGGGCAAGUCUGGUGCCAGCAGCCGCGGUAAUUCCAGCUCCAAUAGCGUAUAUUAAAGUUGUUGCAGUUAAAAAGCUCGUAGUUGAAUUUCGGGAUUUGUCAGUUGGUCGGGCUUAACUGUCCGUAUUGACUCGAUGGAUUCUUACCUUCUGAAUAACCAGCAUGCUAUUAAUUUAGUGCGUUGGGGAAGCAGAUCUAUUACCUUGAAAAAAUUAGAGUGCUUAAAGCGAGCUAGUGCUUGAAUAGAUUAGCAUGGAAUAAUAAAAUAGGACGGCAUGGUUCUAUUUUGUUGGUUUCUAGGAUCACCGUAAUGGUUAAUAGGGAUAGUUGGGGGCAUUAGUAUUCAAUUGUCAGAGGUGAAAUUCUUGGAUUUAUUGAAGACUAACUUCUGCGAAAGCAUUUGCCAAGGAUGUUUUCAUUAAUCAAGAACGAAAGUUAGGGGAUCGAAGACGAUCAGAUACCGUCGUAGUCUUAACCAUAAACUAUGCCGACUAGGAAUCGGACGAUGUUAAUUUUAUAAUGACUCGUUCGGCACCUUACGGGAAAC